rnacentral:tRNA from 1 species
GUUUAUAUAGUUUAAAAAAAACAUUACAUUUUCAUUGUAAAAUUAGAAAUUUUCUUGUAAAUA